CAGCCGCCGCGGUAAUACGAAGGGGGCUAGCGUUGCUCGGAAUCACUGGGCGUAAAGGGUGCGUAGGCGGGUCUUUAAGUCAGGGGUGAAAUCCUGGAGCUCAACUCCAGAACUGCCUUUGAUACUGAAGAUCUUGAGUUCGGGAGAGGUGAGUGGAACUGCGAGUGUAGAGGUGAAAUUCGUAGAUAUUCGCAAGAACACCAGUGGCGAAGGCGGCUCACUGGCCCGAUACUGACGCUGAGGCACGAAAGCGUGGGGAGCAAACAGGAUUAGAUACCCCCGUAGUCCCUGUCUCUUAUAC
rnacentral:rRNA from 1 species